rnacentral:lncRNA from 1 species
AUGGAAGGUGGGGAGUGGGGAGCGUGGGACACGGCCUCUGAGUGUCGACCAUCUUGCUUCUCCACCAGCUGGGACCGCAGCGUCACCACCGGUGUGGCUGGAAUCUGUAUCCCACUCCUGGGCCUUCUCCCGGGUCGGGGUCUUCUCCAGGGUUGGGGUCAGAGUCAUCUCUGUGAGCUCCAUCAGGAGAAACUGAGGCAGGGUGGUGGUCAAAAAAAGGAGGAGAAGACGGUAGAGAGGGCCAGGCACGGUGGCUCAUGCCUGUCAUCCCAGCACUUUGGGAGGUUGAGGCAUGUGGAUCAUCUGAGGUCAGAGGUUCGAGACCAGCCUGGCCAACGUGGUGAAACCCCAUCUCUGCUAAAAAUGCAAAAAAUUAGCUGGGCGUGGUGGUGUACGCCUGAAAUCCCAGUGACUCGGGAGGCUGGGGCAAUCUCGGCUCACUACAACCUCCGCCUCCCGGGUUCAAGCGAUUCUCCUGCCUCAGCCUUCCAAGCAGCUGGAAUUACAGACGCCCACCACCAUGCUCGGCUUAUUUUUAUUUUAUUUUAUUUUUUUGAGACAGAGUUUUGCUCUGUCACCCAGGCUGGAGUGCAGUGGCGUGGUCUUGGCUCACUGCAACCUCCGCCUGCUGGGUUCAAGCAAUUCUCCUGCCAAAGUGCUGGGAUUACAGGCGUGAGCCACCAUGCCCAGACUUUUUUAUUUUUAUUUUAUUUUAUUUUAUUUUAUUUUAUUUUAUUUUAUUUUAUUUUAUUUAUUUGAGACGGAGUCUCUGUCUGUCACCCAGGCUGGAGUGCAGU